rnacentral:rRNA from 1 species
AUUGAACGCUGGCGGAAUGCUUUACACAUGCAAGUCGAACGGCAGCACGGGUGCUUGCACCUGGUGGCGAGUGGCGAACGGGUGAGUAACAUAUCGGAACGUGCCCAGUAAUGGGGGAUAACUAACCGAAAGGUUAGCUAAUACCGCAUACGCCCUGAGGGGGAAAGCGGGGGAUCGAAAGACCUCGCGUUAUUGGAGCGGCCGAUAUCUGAUUAGCUAGUUGGUAGGGUAAAGGCCUACCAAGGCGGCGAUCAGUAGCUGGUCUGAAAGGAUGAUCAGCCACACUGGGACUGAGACACGGCCCAGACUCCUACGGGAGGCAGCAGUGGGGAAUUUUGGACAAUGGGCGAAAGCCUGAUCCAGCCAUUCCGCGUGAGUGAAGAAGGCCUUCGGGUUGUAAAGCUCUUUCGGCAGGAACGAAACGCUCUAGAUUAAUACUCUGGGGUAAUGACGGUACCUGAAGAAGAAGCACCGGCUAACUACGUGCCAGCCGCCGCCGUAA